UUUACUUGGAUUCAUCACAAUUUUAUUAGAGAGAUCUAGAGGAAAACUCUGCCCUUCUUGUUCCUAGGAUGCCAACAUAGGACACAUAGAUGAUAGCCAUGCUCAUUGGCAAGCCAAAUUAAGUCCCAUCAUUUGAUUUUCUUGAAAGACAACUCCAAGAAUGGACCAAUUACUUAAAUUGGGUCGCCGGGUUUUCUCGAAAAUUACUCAAAGCAAAAUUCAUUCCCAUCACAAAAAGCGUGCAAUAGAAGGACUUGCCAGACCUGUCCUCACUGAGGCUCUGCUCCGACAACCUCAGUAAAAACCAAGCCAAGAAGCUUCAUUGUCUCACCAUCAAGAGCUCGACCAUUCCCGAGACCAUCCUAUCCGACACCCUCGCCAAUAACUACUCGAAAAUCGGCAAUCUGAAGUACGCACGCCACGUGUUCGAUCAUAUUCCGCAACCGGACAUCUGCUCCCGGAACGCCCCCUCCUUUCUGCUCAUGUGAAAUCGGGGGAUACCGGGUGGACGCGAGAGGCAUUUGAAUUGAAUGCCGGGCAGGGAUGGAGUGUCGUGGAACUGUGUCUUUUCGGGGUACGCGAACAACGGGGUUGGCGAUUGAGUCGGCGAAGGCCUAUGAUGAGAAGUUUGAGAGAUGGGAGCGCGAAUUUGAACAGGAUCACGCUCUCGACGAUGCUAAUAUGUUGUCUUCAAGUAAGCAUGGUGUGGAUUUGGGUCGGCAGAUACACUGCCAUGCGGCAAAGUUUGGACUUUGGCCAUGUGUUCUUCCAUCAACUAUAUAGCAUCACAGUGCAAUCAGCACCCAUUUUAAUGGAUAGGACUUUGGAACAUAAUUAUUUGUCGAAAACUGAGAUUGAUGAUCGCCUUUGAAUCGUUUCUAAUUCGGUA